rnacentral:lncRNA from 1 species
GAGAUAUAAUACAAGUUUUUAUUUUUUUGAAGGAAGAUAAAAUACAAAUAUAUAUAAUAUAUAAUCAAUAACAACUAACAUACUAUCACAAACAAUUGCAUGCUGUAGUGGAAAUUAAGCGAUCAUGUUAUGUGUAUGCCUUGUGGAUAUUAUAUGCACUUACUUUUAAGUUUACAUUCACUAGCACAAUAAGUUAAAGUAUGACCCGUAUUAAUAUUUAAAUGCAUAAAAUAAAAAGGUUGAAAUUUAAAGCCCUUGUUUUCUCUCUCCUUUCACCAUUGUUUGGAUCUUGAAAUGUUGCUUCACCUUGCAUCUAGGAUUCAUGUCCUUUCAACCCAAUUGAUCAUUAAUCUUUUAUCUAACUUGAAGAAAAACACCAGAACAUACACUUAUUUAAUUUCCAUGAACCACGUAAACAACUGGAUGCCUGAACCAUAUUUGUUAACCUUCUCUGUUGUUGUCGUCUCAUUGAGAUCUAGAAACUUCAUGUAUCAUUUUAUUUCAAACUAUUUUUUUUACUUUAAACAAUUGUUUAUAAAAAUCCUAGAUUAAUUUUCAAAUUUGCAUAAAUUGAAUAAUUAACUUUACCUACUUACGAUGAUGACACAUGCUAUAUUAAUUAUGUUUUUAUGAAAAAAUAAGGCAAGUUAGUCACUAAUAAGUAAAAAAUGUUAAGCAAGUAUAAAUAGAAGGGAAAGUAGGAUGAAUUGUUCUCUG